AUCUAGUACUUCACUUUAUUAAAUUUAGGAAUUCUCGUACACCAAGUUUUGCAUUGAUCUUAUGAUUCCAAUCCACAUUUCAGAUGUCUAUGUCCAGUACGUUUCCGGAUUUCGAGGAAGUCGCAAGCUAAAGGUAGGAGAGUUCAGCUAUACCAAAAGCAAGGAAAGUGCAAACAAAACGUACUGGUCUUGUGCGAGAGCAGGCAUGAGCAAAUGUAAAGCACGGGUUCUAACCUACACACUGAGAAACGGGGAAGAGAACUUGGUGGUUCGAUAUCCAACACACAAUCAUGAACCAUUCUAGUACUGCAAUCUUAUAUGAUACUCUGUAAAUAAAACAUUAAUGAGUUGGUGGAAACUGUGGUGGACUUUUCCUCUAUGCCCUAUAUUUGCAUUACGUUGAAGCAUAACUAAUCAGUUAAUUUGGAUUCCAUUUUAGUGUUUAAAAUUGUUAACAUUGAAGAAGUGGAAGAUGAUCAACCCAAGGAAAUAUACUUCACCGUCGGGCAACGUGGUUGCGUUUUGCUGCACGUUGAUGGCUAUAAAUUCGUGAAGAAUCGUAAGGGGGCAUACAAAACCUAUUGGAUCUGCGCUAAAAAGGGAAGUACAGCCUGCAAAGCUAGAGUCAUCACCCCGGCAAACAGUGAGGAGAAAAAGGUUCCCACGUUGAUAGCUCGCAGCGGAACACAUAAUCACCCUGUAUUCGUAGAGCGAAAAUCCCGCAGUUCUGCUACACAUAGGAUUUUACUUUUCGAAGACCCAUAGUUAAAUAAAUUUAUCUCAACUGAAACUUUGUGUAUCGUGCAUUCGUUUUGAAUCCUGAAGAGUGUCGUUUUUGCAUUAGUUUUGGAUUAACGGAUUUCUAUUUUCCUUUAUAGAUGGCAACGAUGUUGACCAGAUUUACUUCAUUGCUGAGAUCAUCGGUUCUGCAGAGGGAAUGAAAACUGUGAAAAUACCCGCAAAGAAGAAAAGUAGAUCCAAAUCCGCAACGAUGCCUCCGGGAAACAAUGAAAUGUUCAAUUUUGAAAGCGAUGGUUCACCUUCAAAGCCCACCUACACAACUGGCCGGGGAAAUAACGUUCUCAACUACCAGGGCCACCGCUACAUCAAGAACAAUGCGCACAGCGGGAAAAUUUACUGGAAGUGUACCAAAUGGCACAGUGGGUGCAAAGGACGUGCCAUUACCAACGUGCUGGUUCCAGGCUUGGUUGUUCUGAAGAAUACGCACAACCACGAACAAUUGUAAUUUCAUCAACGGCGGUUUUUUUAUUUUAAGCCAAAUAAAAAUGAACAGAAUUGAUCGACCUUCCUCAUAUUUUCCAACAGUGAUUUUUAAGUAAUAUUUGUUUAGUUAUCUUGAGUUCAUAAGUUUCCGCAAUACCAAUGGUUGAGAAGUCAGUUUCUCUGUGAACUUUAAAGUUUUUUGAGAACCUCUUGUUGAAAUUUCUGAAAAAUCACCGCAAAUUUCAAACACAGUUUCAAUGAUCUUUUAAUUUAUUGUUUAAAACUAGUACUACGUGAAACGGUGAUGAAUCGUCAUGUAGCAAAAAAUCACCCCAGUAAAAUAGUGAUAAUUUGCGCUGCAAUCGUUUUAUGAGUUUCCAAGUUUUCUGUCACGGUUUUUCGAUUUCGCGUUUUUUUUUUUUUUGCCGAAUUGUGAAAUGGCUGAAGAAUUUAUUUUGUGUCUAAGGAUUUUAGUGCCAAUAUUACCAAGCAGAUAAAAGCUUACAGAAGGUGCAAUCGAAGUGCGGCUAACAGUUCAAUUAUGACAUCAAAUACUACCGCGUUCGUUUUUAAUACGUAAUGUUGGUGAAAGUACACGAGAAAUAAGUGUGAUAGAUUAUGUUGUACGUUCCGGAUAAAAAAAAUAUGUGUAGUUACGGAUGGAACUGCCUUAUGGAAAUCCCUACCUGCUACCUGCGGAGUAUUAAAAGCUGCCCAGUGGACUACGCGAAAUGGAUCCAAAUUGGUGAGGUCAAACCAUUUUUCCUAACACUAGUUGUCUCAACAUACAUUGUACUGCUCACGGUGUCUGUUUUUACAUGCAGUACCGUGGGGAGAUUUUCUCCAAAGUUUAGAUAUUUCUUAGUUUUGUAGGUAAUUUUUCUAUUUUUUUUCUGUUGCGCGAAUGAAUGAAUUCUGAAAGAAUAAAUGUUAACAUACUUUUCAGAAGUGUCGAAAACAGUUAUUUAACGUUACACAAGUGAACUUUUGCAAAGUGCCGCGAUAGUGAACCUAUUCUUGUUGUUUUUUAAUAUGCUUAGGUUACGCGAGCUGAGACUUUAUGGAUAGCAUAGCAUUCAAACACAAAUUUUGAUCUGGCUGUUUCCAGAAAGAAAUAUUUGAUCUUGGAGGACCAAUAUUUGAUGUAAUUUGCUCUGUUUUUGCGUUCUGUUUUAUUGUUUACUACUUAUAAACGUUUUAUUUAAGGAGGAUUCAGGUAAAUCUACCUUUUCAUAUAGGAGGGUUCAGGUAAAUCUAAUUUUUCUUUUCUAUUUCAGAUUUGAAAUCGUACACCCAACCAGUGUUGGUAAACUCACACUCAAAGCACACUCAUGAACCGCUCCUGCGUGAGCAAACUCGCGCGCGAUUCUGAAUCGUUUUCUCACGCGCGAGAAUUUCAUGCAAAAUCUCGCUCUCACGAGUCAAGCGCCGAAAUCUCGUUCGCUUGUAAAACGAACCCAAAUCAAUUUGAACGGCAUUCAAUGUUGUUGUACGCUAGAUUUGCUUUUGUUCUAUCAUACAAUCCUAAAAACUUCGAUUUAAACACUAAGAACACCAAGAAAUAAAGCAAUGAGUGAAAUUAUGAGUCAACUCAUGCAUGAUUUUUUCGGCGGUGAUUUUGGCGAGUCAAGAAUCGCGCGUGAAACAACUCAACAAUGAGGUUUGAGAAUUUGAGUUUUGACCAACACUGCACUCAACAAAGAAUCGGGAAAGGAACCAGGCAUCAACCAAAAAUAUUGCGUGCUGCUGAACGUUGACCAAACGUUUUCUUUGAACUUUACCCUUCCACUAACAUCCAAAUUCCCGUGACGCCUAGGCCUGAAAGAAUGUAGAGGUCUCUAUGUACUUUCAUAGGUGUCCAACUAAUCUUCCUUUCCCAUCCCUCAGCUGUCGCAAGGACGUGGCCAGGGCAGCACUCGACCGUUGGAGGAUUGUGUCAAUCUUGUCUAAGAGUCAGAGAUUAGUCCCAAAUCUUUGUGCUUUGGUAACGGACAGGAAGGAUGCAACCCUCAUAACAGCGAUCCAGGGCUGUACCACCUACGAAUUUGUGCGACUUGCUUAAUGCUAAUGCUAAUGCUAAUGCUAAUGCUAAUGCUAAUGCAAUCGUUUUAUGAGUUUCCAUUUCACGUAGUCUCUAAUGUUUAUCCAAUCUAGUACUACAUCGAAUAAUGCAUCAACUCUUAUACAUUUUAGCGCCCUUUCAUACCAACUUUAUGCACUAGUUCCAAUCGCAACCACUUCUUGCAUCGCCUGAUUUUAGCCGUGAAACAUCCCGUCAAAGCGAUUGCUACUUAGUUGUGGAUAACGGAAUAACAACAUGCAGUACUGGAAGCGCAAUCAGUACUACAAAUGCAAGCUUAGUUGUGACCGACGAAAUCAAUCCAUCACCAUGAGAAGUCAUCGAGCAUCGUCGGAGGCAGUAGUAGUAGUAGUCGUAAUUAACUGGCCCACGGUACCACGACAGGUGAAAUUCCUUAACAAUACCUUCCUCAGAAGAAGCAGCAGACCAUUGGCUGUCACAGGAUUCCUCGAACAAUCUGUACAGUCUAGAUCAUGAUCAAACAAGAGAUAAUAAAACUGUUGUUUUGAGCUAUUAUUGUUCGUUAAGUUUUGUAAUACAUGAUUACUUUAGUACUUAACAGUAAUUCCUUCAAAACAUGACGUUUUAUCAUUUUCCACAGAAUCCUUCGCCAGGAGGGAGAUUUAUGAACGGUUUAUGCUUCCGAAAGCCGGAAUGGAAGUGGCCCGGUUCGGGAUCAGCCAACGAGGAGCGAAGAAACUGAUCUGCCAUGGAUACGAAUACGUCAAGGACCGAGACUUUCCGGAUUCGACCAAUUGGCGUUGUGCUUUGUUCCGCCGGCAGAAGUGCCGCGCCCGUGCCAUUACCAAAAUCAUUGACGGUAUCACCUACGUAAGGCUUACGAACGAUGCCCACAGCCACGAUGUCCGGAUGUACCGGAGGCAUCCAGUGAUUAUUACGAAAGCGGACGAAAUGGAGUCUGCAUAAGAAAUAAAGUAGUUUCUUUGUUGAAUUAUUGUGAGAAAAAUAUACGUAUAUCAGAAUGGGUUCAUUGUCCUGUUUAAACUAUGUUUCCUUUAGUGGUUCCAAUGACGUACUAGAUUACUAUCGCACUAAUACGAACUAUUCGCAUUUUUAGGUGUUUUCGAACCGGCUGUAUUCGGAACUACUCGUCGUGGUCAACAGAAACUAAUACACAAUGGGCAUGCGUACACCAAGGAUCGACAGUCGGCGAAGACUUGCAACUGGAAAUGUUCCCUCUUUACGCGGUACAAGUGUAAGGCUCGUGCCGUUACGAGGGACAUCAAUGGCGUGGUGUACGUGAAAGUCACCAACACGUUACACUAUCACCCGGUGGAGCAGUACAAGAUCAACUACCGAAGGCUGGCCGUCAACCCAAUGAGUUUGGCGAACACUUUUAUCCCGCAUGUCAAGGAUGAGUCUUUUUGAGAUGUGCAAGUAUCGGUUAUAAGUGAGAGUAGGGUUUCUCGUCGCAAAUAAAUUAUGUGUGUUAGUGUUAUUCUAGUACUUCAGUAGAUAUAUUCACCCUGGUGAAACACUCUGUAAGAUUACCUCCGAUGACCAAUUAUAAUUUACUAGGAGUAGAAAUGAUUCUACUGUAGUUCUAGUACGUCAUUGUCAUACACUAAACUAUUCUGUGCUUUUAGAUGACAAAGCUGUUUUCACCGAGCGAGCCCUGUACGAGUAUACUUCCCGAGGAACGCAGCGCUUGCUUCAUGGCGGAUAUUACUUCAGCAAAAACAAAACCAACGAAUCGAGCGGACGGGUGAACUGGAAGUGCCAAUUUUACCAACGGCUGCGCUGCAAAGCAAGGGCCAUCACGAAAAACAUCAACGGAUACGACUACGUGCGCGUCACCCACGAAGAGCACACCCAUCGCAAGGAUCUUACCGAGGAUGAGUUCCGUCAUCCCAAACGGAAAAGAGAGUUUGGAAGUUUGAGAAAGUAACUGCGACACAAUCAUUUGUUGUAGAAGUACAUGCCAAUGAGUUUUAAUAAAAACUUAUUUAUUUUUCAUUUUAUGAAAUUACGAUUAGUAAUUCUAGUACCUCGUUUUUAGUAAUAGCCUAAUAGUUUAGAACGACCUCAUCAAAUUAUUAUUUUCUUGUUCACUGUGGAGUAACUUGAGCUAUUACCAAUUUGAACUUAUUUUCAGGCUGUUUCAGCUUGAAAAAAAAAGAAAUGCAUCGAAGCGAUUGUGUAAAUCUAGUACUCCAAUAGAAAAAAAAAACCUUAUAACGGCCGAAAGAACCCAUUUGCUAAAAAGAAGAUGACAUUCUAAGCCAUAUUUUAUCAUAUUUACAUAGCUCUAACCUAUUCAUAUUUUUCCAUCCAACCUAUCCCAAACAGUUAAACUGAAAAUUGUUCAAUAUUCAACACGCAAAUCGGACGAGCACUACGACGAUGAUGGUGAAGACGGCGAUGAGGAUGAUGAAGCAAAGACCCAGUUCCCAUUGGACCUGAAGAUGGUGGUAGGCCGCAAGGGACGCCCAAUGCUGCUGAUGGGUGGCCACGCUUUUUUCCGCAACAACACCCACAAGAGCAAAACCUACUGGCUGUGUGCCAAGAGCCGUUCGCUGAAGUGUCGCGCCCGAAUCAUCACCCUGGACGGCAGCGCCGGACUGAUCCUCAAGAAUCAGAUUCAUAAUCAUCCAGCGGCGCUGGAAAAGUCCUAGGCGAGGAUAAGAGUUAUCGAGUUCGUGCUGUGACAUAACGUCACGGUACUUGAACAAAAUUUUGGUUUUCUCUACAUAAUACGUUGUGUAGGCCAGUGUUGGGAAUACUCACUUGUAAGAGUGAUAAUCACUUGCUUCUAUCUCAGUCCAGAAGCAUACUUUCAAAAAAUAAUGUUUGAAGGGCUUUUAGAUUGUAGUUUAAUCUAAAAGUUUGCCGAAUAAAGUAAAGGUCGCAGACGCAUACCAAAAUUGUGAGAGAGCUGUGAGUACGAGGUGAGUAAAAUUCGUGUAAUUUAUACUCACCUUGUGCUCACAGCUCUCUCACGAUUUUGGUAUGCGUCUAUGAGCUUUACUUUAUUCGGUAAACUUUUAGAUUAAACUACAAUCUAAAAGCCCUUCAAACAUCAUUUUUUGAUAGCAUGUUUCUAGAAUCAGAUAGAACCAAGUAAGUAUAACUUUUCGCAUGUGAGUAUUCGCAACACUGGUGUAGCCAUUAUUUUCAGCAAUUUAUCGUAUUGUAAUUUGAAUUCUGUGCAAAUAAAAUGCCCGAAAUUGAGUUGAUCUAGUACUUCAAUUACUGAAUGGGCAAUGAAAGGUAAAUAACUUGCAAAGCUUCUGUUUGGGAUUUCCUUUUCUUUUGAAAUAAAGGUUCUGUUUUUGAUUGCACCAAUCGUGUUUUAGUUUAUCUCACUCUAGUACUGCUAGAAAAUCUACUAACAUGCUACAUUCUUUUUUCAGUAUCUACAGUUAUCGAUUACGUUACGGAGGAAAAGGUCCAAAAUGGAAAACCGAUCAAGCCGACUCGCUCCAAGCGGACCAAACCCAAGCACAACGUAAAGGAAAUUAUAAACAGUACCCAAGGACUCCCCGUGGUGUACCAGAACACACGUUUUGGAGCGGCUCAGGUACUCUUGGAGGACAUGGCAUACUCGUUCACCUACACGAAGAACCAAAUAAGCCACUACAGAUGCAGCCGAUACAGGAGCCAACAGUGCCCGGCCGAGGUAGUUGUCAACAACAAGCUGGUCUACUAUCUCUGUGCUGCCCAUAAUCACGAUUUGGCUACCGGUCAGCAAUUGGAUGGUAUCUGUAGGUCGUAUCUAGCUAGAGAUGCGACGUAAGUUUUGAUUGGAUGUGGUUGCAAUGUACAAGAAUGGAUAGAAUUAUGCACAGCAUUCCUAGAUGUCCAGUAAAGUAUGCAUUGACCUGAUUCUUUCGGGGGUGGAUGUGGUUGUAAUGUACUGUAAUGGAGAAAAGUAUGUACAGCAUUCCUAGAUGACCAGUAAAGUAUGCGUUGACCUGAUUCUGUCGGGGCCGGAGAAGGGAUCCAUCUAGGGAUGGUUGGCUAUGUCUCGUAGAAUCGCCUAAUUAUGUCCAAAUUCAUGUCAUACUUCUUAAAUAAUUUCAUUGGCAUUUCUAUAUUAGAUUGCAAUACUUACAGAAUUCAUUACAUGAUUAUUUACAUAGCUAUGUGAAGUACUAGAUUAAGGAAGAAUACAAAAUCAAAUACAAUAUUCCUACACUAUCAAGAAAGUUUUGUUUAUGAUUUAGUUAAACAGUAUUGAAUUGACAAUUCAUCAGCGAGAACUGUCACUCUAACGCAACAAUCUUUCCAGAGGACCGUGAAAUCACCUUCAUUGUGGGAAGACUCGGCAACAUGCAGUUGAUCAUCGACGGCCACCUGUACACCCGGUCUCAAAUCAGGGAACGCAUCAUCAUUUGGCACUGCUCUCGGCAAAGAUCUGGAUGCAAAAGUCGGAUCAGCACCCUGCGAGGCGAACCGGGGACGGCCUACUCCUUUCGUGAGGACCACAAUCACGAGAGCAAAUUUGACUUCAAAAAUAGGGACAUUAAGGUUUUCAAGGUGGCCAAACUGUUGAUUGUUGGCAAAAACCGUUAGAUUGCGUUGUUUUUAAUUUCAGGCUGAACAAUAAAAUAGAAAUUAGUUUUUCGUAACUUUACCCAAGCAACACACAUGUUGUAUAACAGUUACGGCAGCGCAUGUUUUGGUUGUAUAGAAGUUUAUUUUACGUAAUUCUAACACAAUGUUGAAAUAACGUCGAAUUAACUUCUAUACAACCAAAACUUGCACUGUCGUAACUCUUAUAUAACAUGUGUGUUGCUUGGGUAGUCUUGAUUCUGUUGAACACAAUUCAUCGUUUAAAUGAAAAUUAUUCGAAAGGCUUGGAAAAAAAGUCAAACAAUAUUGAUGAAAAAUUAGAAAUUUCACUAACUAUUGCCAUUAUGAAUGUACAUUUCAGACAAUAAAUCUGAUGAUAGUAAUAUCUACGUCGUGUGCACUGCCGAAGGGGAGUACAAGAUUCAGGAGAAACCUGCAGCUAAAGCUAGACAAACAAAAGAGACCAAAGCUCCAUUCAAGGCUUCGUCACCGAUGCGGGUUGUUUGCAUCCUGGGCGGAUUCACAUUUCCAAUCUCAGAUGGCGAUGAAGUGGAACGAUUGGAAAAAACCAUUUCGGAACGGGCCGACAUUCGCGAGGAAUAUGUGAAAUUGUUGAAGCGCAAAUCGAAACAUAUCAAACUAUUCCAAUUUAUGCCGUCAGUUUUCUCGGAUGAAGCUCUGGAAGGAUAUAACUUCAAUGGAGCAAACGUGCUUGGUAGGCGCAAGAUCGCCAUGAAAGGUUACAAUAUUUUCAGCACUUGUUUCAUGGAUGCUUACGAAUCAGAAGGGCUAACCAUGGAAGAACUAGCCAACCAGAUAACCACGGCCAUCAAGCAGACUCGUAACAGAAUGCGUCAGCGUACCUUCCGGGUGAAGAGAUCUAUCGAGAAGAUGUUGAAGGAAAAAUCGGAACACUAGCUGGUUGUGUUCGUUCUAGAGUAAACUGGAAAUUUCACCGAUAACCCAUUGGGACUCUUGUAGAAAAUAAAUAAUGUACUAGAUUAAAUUCAUACCUGGCCGAUUAUGUAUUUUGUACUUAUUUGAUUCUAGCGAAUCAACUUAAUAAUUUUCAUGUAAACAAUAUAAAAGUAUCUUGAUUUUGAUAUUGAUUUCGAUGCUAUUACAAAAAUAUUAUUUAUUUAAAAUAAAUAAAUAAGUUAAAAAUAUAACUCAUCUGAAGCAGAAAAAACAACUAAUUUGCAAAUAAUAUCUGUAUACAGUUGCUGAACACUGUAAGACGGCAUCGCUUCAUUUAUCAAUCUAGUACCUCAUUCAUGCGAUAU